CAAAGUAUCUGGACUGGACAAGCGGGACACAAGGAAAAGGACUGCCAAACCUUGCCAAGACAGGCCUGGAGAUUUUCUCUCCGGUUUUCCACCACUCCGAGUCCAGUAGUCCCUGGCCACAGACACCCUGAGUGAAGGCGACACCGCCACUGGCCACAUCAGCCUGGCUGGAGGCUGAGAACUGAGUUCAAAGAGAGACCCAAACUCCUAAGAAUGGGUCAGAAAAACCAAAGCUCCCACAGAGGCAGCCCAGCCCUCAGCACAUCCAGACAAAGUGGCCAACUGGAUCAGGUUCAGACCUGGAAGAUGGGCUAGUCCCACGACUGUGGAGCAGCAUUGUGUGAACAAGGGCCAGGCAGAGGCCAUUUGGCCUCUCAGCUCCGAAGGCCGUACCCUCUUUCCACCACUGGAGAACAAGCCUCUGAGUAGCCAGGCUGAGCUCAGCCAGGGGCGCAGAUUGAGUAUCAGAAGUGUUCAGUGAAGAAGAGAGAGGAUGAUGAAGAGACUCUCUUCAAGACCAAGAUGGUAGGUGUCUUAGUUAGGGUUUCUAUUUCUGUGAAGAGACACCACGACCACAGCGACUCUUAUAAAGAAAACAUUUAAUUGGGGUGAUUGGUUACUGUUUCAGAGGUUCAGUCCAUUAUCGUCAUGAUGGGGAGCAUGACAGCACUCAGGUAGAUGUGGUACUGGAGUAACUGAGAGUCCUACAUCUUGCAGACAACAGGCAAUGGACUGACAGACAGGCUGAGGGAAGUGAGCAGAGAUCUCAAAGCCUGCUCCCCACAGUCCAGCAAGACCAUAUCCACGCCUUCUAAUAGUGCCACUCCCCUUGGGGGCCAUUUUCUUCUAAACCACCACAGUAGGAAAGAUCCCAAGAGGUUGUGCUAUCAGUUCAGUCCAAGUCAAAGGCCACUGUGCUCAGUUCCCUAGAAAACACUCAUGGACUCUGAGUGCAGAAAGUGUUCGGCAUGCCCUUGGGACUGUUACAACGGACUAGAGGGAUGGGGAAGGGAUUGAGGUUCACUGAGAGGCAAGGAAGGUUCAGGUGAGUCUCACAGGGCAACUCUUUAGAAGUGUCCCGCCUGAGACCAGGGUCUGAGUCCCAAUACGUCCUCACCUCCUCACCAGGCAGAGGCUGCACACGCUUCCCCUGCUGGAGAGGACACAAAGGUGAUUCACCUGGGGCUGUCAGGAGCAAAUGCCUCCAAACGGGCACCAAUGAAGUCUUCCGUGUUGAAGGAGGGGGCAGGUCAGUACACCACGGCAGCAGGCAGCCACUGGGAGAUGACUGGGCCAGUGAUUCCCCAGUGUCCACCCGAGGAUUCCAUAGCCUUAGCAUACUUAGAAGUUGGUCCAGGACUCGACAGAGCUGUCAACAUGGAUAAGGAGGAAUGGAAGUUAGAUCUGGGUCUCCCGUCUACAUCAGGACCACAUGGAAGACAGAGGACAGAUUCUGAGCCUGUUUCAGGGAUUCUCGUGAGUCUGAGGCAAAGUUCUGAAAAUCUGCUCUUGUGCAAGGAUGUAGGUUAUUUACAUGUGACCCGUCUAUAAUCUGUAGCAUGAAGUGACCUGGGUGACAGGCCACUGUGCAAACUGUCAAACAGGUUCGGCAGCAUUCAGAUCCAUUCAUAACACUUGGGAAGCUGGGGAUCACGAGUUUGGAGCCAACCCUGGUGACAUGGGAGAUCUCAAUGGAGCUCUACUUCUGGGUCGCUACUACUCAAACUUUUAUUUAUCAAAAACAUUAAUAAAACAUAUAUCCCCUGCAGGUGAUCCCCAAAGAGAAAAGAAUGAUACUAUUUGAAAUAUUCAAUAGUUUCAGCAUCUUGGAUGUUGUAGAAAGGGUCUCACUAAGCAACCCAGGCUGGCCUCAAACUUGAAAUCCUCCUACAUCUGCCCACAGACUGCUGGAUUAUAGGAAUGAACCAUUAUGCUUGACUAGAUUAAUAUUUAUUGACAACAAAAGUUGUUUAUGGCUUUAAAAAUAUUUUUAAAAUUUAUUUUAUGUGCAUGGGUAUUUCGCCCAUACACAUGUAUGUGUGAGUACCAUGUGCAUUCGGUGCCCACAGAGGCCAGGAGAGAGAGGGCAUUGGGUCCCCCGGAAUAGGCAUCACAGAGGGUUGUGAUCUGCCACAUGGUUGCUGGGAAGUGGAUCUGGGACCUCUGUAAGAACAGUCUCUUAACUGCUGAGCCAACUCCCAGCCUGUUUCUGGUUCCCUAAAAGAGAAAUCAGCAGAGAGUCACUGGGGUAUUGUGGUUUAGAACAGAGAUUCUAGAUUCUAAUGAACUGCCUAGGUUAAAAUUCUUGCCCAUCACGUGCUCACUCUGUGACCUCGGUAAAAUUACUCACUUCCCUACGUCUUGGGCCCCUCAUCUGUAAACUGGGGACACUGGCUUACAAUCAAGGUCAAGGGUUAUUCAAGUUAAAACAUGCUUUGAGAGUUAUAGCCGUGCCGAACACAUACCAAGCUCUGUAUAAACAUUCUGUAGGUUGUUUUGUGGUGGUUGUGAAACACCCCUUAAACUUUUUUUUUAAUAUUUAUUUAUUUAUUAUGUAUACAAUACUCUGUCUGUGUGUAUGCCUGCAGGCCAGAAGAGGGCACCAGACCUCAUUACAGAUGGUUGUGAGCCACCAUGUGGUUGCUGGGAAUUGAACUCAGGACCUUUGGAAGAGUAGGCAAUGCUCUUAACCUCUGAGCCAUCUCUCCAGCCCCCACACCCCUUAAACUUAAUAGCCUAAACCGUGAUGGCUCUGGUGGUUCUUGUAUUGUUCACAUCACUUGGUAUUAACUGUGCCCUGGGGCAGCUGGCAGGUCCCAAGGGUCCUCGUGUGCACGGAAGAGGCACCACACGUGUGCUCAGCCGAGUGCUCAUCUAGCUUGCCCCCUCCACACGGGACCCCCCUCCCAUGUGGCUACAGGCCUCCCCCUCCUCUGUGACUGGGCUCCAUGGGGAGCUCCUUCCCCUAUCUUCUUGGGGCCAUGAAAAGCUUCAAACCUCAGCCAGAUGAAACUGGGGUGGAAGUGUGCCCCACCUUCCAUUGACGGGGCGGGGGUAAAGCAUAUUACUAUUGAUCUCUCAUCUAUCACACCUUAAUACUACUGCUGUAGAAGUGUAUGUAGUCGUGUGUCUGCAUGAAGAAGAUGUUUGAUAGAACAUUUACUAGUAACUGAAUAAAUAGUACAUCCAUAGCAAGAAAACUAAGGAACUUUCCCCUUCCUUCAGACCCCACGACAUGCAGUGCUGGACUCUGAGUGCUGAGCACCACACAGGGUGACAGGACAUAGCAAGACACAGGGGAGGCACAAAAGUGUCCAAGGACAACCGAGACAGAGGUUUGAUACAAGGUGUAUUCUCAGGAAGGGAUGCUUGGGAGAGAGGCAGGGGAGAGUGUCUGCGAUUCUUCACACAAAGAAAUUAUAAAUUAUCAUUUAAAUGAUAAAUCAAAGUCGCAGUAUGCUUCCCUGAGAGGCCACAGCUUGCAAGUGGACAGGAGACCCAUGUCUCAGAGAUCCGGGAGAGCAUGAUCUCCCCCUGAGGAGCUCACUGGCACAGAUGGCAUGCCAAGUUUCUUCCAAAGCCCAGGAUAUAUCACGUUGGCCUUUGUGGGUGUAGAAAAAUCAACACACGGCCAUUUUCUUGAAGAGCCUCUGCCUUUACCUGGUUAAAGGCAGUGGCCCGAGCUUAAUGAGUUCUUCAUAUUCCUUUGAUGGGUCUCUGUGUGGAUACUGCCCUUCCCGCGAAGACCUAAUAAAUGACAGAUGUCCUCAGGAGAACCCUAGCCGCACAGAGAUACCCUGGGUGUUGUCAGCCUUACAGUGUGAGAGUACAGAUAUAUCCUCGCCAUAUGGAUGUGUCCUACUUAGCUUUGCCGACUUGCCACAGCCUACAGUCAUCUGACAAGAGAGCUGUGGCGGUUGAGGAAUUGCCAAGAUCAGAUUGGCCUGUGGGCAUGUAUGGGGGAGAUUCCCUUAAUUAUUACUUCUGCAGGAGGGCCCAGCCCAUUGUGGGCAGCACCAUCCAUAGGUAGGUGGUCUUAAGCUGUAUCCGAAAGCUGGCUGAGCAUGAGCCCGUGACAGAGCCAGAGAGCGAGCCAGAGAGCGAGCCGGCCAGCAGCAUUCCUCCAUGGCUCCUGCCCUGACUUCCCUCGGAGGUGGACUAUGUCCUGGAACUGUAAGCAGAGAAACCCUUUCUUCCUCUAAGUUGCUUUUAGUCAUAGCGUUUUAUCACAAUGACAGAAAGAAAAUCAGAACAAGACGUAAGCUUCCUAGAUCUACUCCUUGCCAUGGAUGGGUGCCUGUGGAUGUGGAAGGGCCCCAGAGAGUAAACGACAGGUUCUUGACAGCAAAGAAUAGCUUGGGAAGAAGGUGGGAGUGUGAGUUUUAGCUUUCAAGAGAGGAGACAUGGAAGCGAUGGGAGGAAGGGGUUGCCCCACACCGUUACGGUGCACAGCAUGUCUGUGGGAUGAGAGCUGUAUGCCAGUCUUAAGAGUUGAGGUUUCCUAAAAAUAAACCAUAUUGUAUCUUUGCUGAUGACCACGGGAAGGACUUGUUGAUCUAUGUAUUCACUUAUCAGUUUGAGUACCAGUCCAGCCGUGACUUCUCUCCUGGGACCAGGGUCCAGAGAUAGCAAGUGCUCUGUGUGGUCGGUAUCUUCUGCGCCUUGCCAACAGCGGUAGUUCCUCGCAACCAUCUCUUCAGCAUGAACCCUCUUCUCUUACCUUAAACGCUGUCAGGGAUCACACAUGAAAUUGUUUUCAAAGAGAGACCAGGCUUUCAACCGGAUGGGAGACUGGAUGGGAGCUGUAAUAUGGAGACAGCGGGUGGCACAGCCUGCUGUGUUGUGUCUGCGAUGGGGAGCCAGGAGAUGCCCAGAGAGGAGCUGAGAUUGGGAGAGGCACCUCCGCAGGGGCCGGUGAGCUGCCCACUUCCCUGGUUUUCAUUGUUCCUGGAAUCUGACACCUUCCUGCCCUCCUGGCAUUAAGAGACAGCCCUGUAUCUUUUCACUCAGUGGCUCUCUGAUUUAGGGGAGCCUGUGUGACUCUCACUAACCGUGUCUGACCUCUGUUCAGUGAGGAGAGACUUCUAAUGUGUUGACCUGAAAAGACCAGCUCAGGGCCCUCAGCUCCUUCUGGUCUGUCCUUUGGCGGUUUUGGGGAGGUGUGGUGGAGGCUGCUCUCCUCCUCUUCAGGCAGCUUAGACCCAAGUGCUGCUGGGGGUCGGGUGGUGGGAUUUGCUGGUGGAGUUCAGCAGUCCCCAUUCCUUGUCCCUCCUCCACAGGAAGGUGGUGUAGGCCUCUGUAAGGCUGUUGUCACAUUGCCAAAGUUUUUGGAUGGCUGGGGCUCAGACUCUGGCAGCGACCCCAGGACAGUCCCCAUUUCUGCUCUGCAGAGGCCCAGUGGUCAGAGUCACCUCUACAUCCCCUUCUAUGCCUCCUCUUGACGUUUGUCCACAGAUCCUCCACCUGGCUGGUAUCACCAAGAACCUUGUCCCAGUGUCUGGGAGCGCCUUUGGGUUACAGUCCAACUUUCAUAUGCUUAGGUGUCUGAUCCCAGGUUCGAGAACCUGGGGUCCCUUAUCCCACUUGGCUUUGUGUUCUGGGUCCCUACUAUAGUGGGCAGCAUGCUUGUUCUUGAUAACAUCUGUGUGAAUGAAUGCCUGAGAGAACAAAUGAAUGAUUGAACCAACUCGUUUCCUCUCAACUCUAUUUUCUUUAGAGUUUUCCACUCUGACACACUGAAUAUGCUGAUUUUCUUUAGUAAUACUUGUGGGGAAAGAGCGUAUGCAUAUGUGCACGUGUGGGUAGGUGCAGCUGCACAAACUGUGAUCGACAUGCGUGUGGAAACCAGAGGCUGAUGUCUUACCCUAUUGCUUCUUAGUUUUUGAAAGUCUCUCGCUGAACCUGGAGCUCACGGUUUGGGUCAGUGAGCCCGCAGGACCCACCCGGCUCCGCCCCCUCACACCAGAGUUACAGCUGCAUGCAGCCACGCUCAGCUUUUGCACUGGAGAGCUGAAGUCAGGUGCUCUGAUUUGCGCAGCAAGCCCUUUGCUCACUGGGCCGUCUCUGCAGCCCCUGGUUGCUUUCCCUCAUUAAAAUUUCAAAAUUUA